rnacentral:rRNA from 1 species
UACGUAGGGGGCGAGCGUUGUCCGGAUUUAUUGGGCGUAAAGAGCUCGUAGGCGGUUUGGUAAGUCGGGUGUGAAAUCUCCACGCUCAACGUGGAGGGGCCACUCGAUACUGCCAUGACUCGAGUCCGGUAGAGGAGUGUGGAAUUCCCGGUGUAGCGGUGAAAUGCGCAGAUAUCGGAAGGAACACCAGUGGCGAAAGCGGCUUCCUGGUCCAGCAUCGACGUUCAGGCACGAAAGCGUGGGGAGCAAACAGG